rnacentral:rRNA from 1 species
UACGGGGGGAGCAAGCGUUGUUCGGAUUUACUGGGCGUAAAGGGCGCGUAGGCGGUCAGCACAAGUCAGUUGUGAAAUCUCCGGGCUUAACUCGGAAAGGUCAACUGAUACUGUGCGACUAGAGUGCAGAAGGGGCAACUGGAAUUCUCGGUGUAGCGGUGAAAUGCGUAGAUAUCGAGAGGAACACCUGCGGCGAAGGCGGGCCUCUGGGCCGUAACUGACGCUGAGGAGCGAAAGCAUGGGGAGCGAACAGG